rnacentral:rRNA from 1 species
UUGACCUCGGAUCAGGUAGGGAUACCCGCUGAACUUAAGCAUAUCAAUAAGCGGAGGAAAAGAAACCAACAGGGAUUGCCUCAGUAACGGCGAGUGAAGCGGCAAGAGCUCAAAUUUGAAAGCUGGCU